AUUUGUUUGAGAAUCUCUCUUGUAGCUCACUCUCUCCCUUUCCCAAUCGACACCUACACACCCAGACACCCCCACACCCAAGGAAAUCCGUCGACGUGACACCACCACACUCACCACCAUGUUAGCACACACUCUCUCUCUCCUCACCUCUGUGGAACACAAAGAACCCCCGGUGAACCCAAGUUCGGCCAGCUCCGACCAUUUCGCGGCGAAUCGAAGGUUGCAUUUAUUAGCGGCGAUUCUAGCAUUCCUAUUUCGCACGGCUCUUUGACGACGGAGUAUCUGACAUAGGAACGAGGCGUACGAUCCGAGCUACGAGGCAUUCUCCUACCAGUGAUUUCAUAUCAUCCUCUCUGCUUUGACAUCUAUUGUAAUAACACCUCUCUAUUUUACCUUUCGCUUGUACUCUGGAUAAGUUGUAUGCUCUGAACAUGUCAUGCAUUAUCAUUAUAUUCAUUGUUGGCAAUUGAAUAUUAUUAUUGUAUUUUGUAAGACUUAUAUUUGAAUAUUACUUUGUGUAGUUACA